UGCGCGGUGUUGUAACGGGAACAUGCCGGUCUCAUAAGCCGGACGAUCGGGGUUCGAGUCCCCGCCGCGCCAC
rnacentral:tRNA from 1 species